rnacentral:rRNA from 1 species
AAAUUGAAGAGUUUGAUCAUGGCUCAGAUUGAACGCUGGCGGCAGGCCUAACACAUGCAAGUCGAACGGUAACAGGAAGCAGCUUGCUGCUUCGCUGACGAGUGGCGGACGGGUGAGUAAUGUCUGGGAAACUGCCUGAUGGAGGGGGAUAACUACUGGAAACGGUGGCUAAUACCGCAUAACGUCGCAAGACCAAAGAGGGGGACCUUCGGGCCUCUUGCCAUCAGAUGUGCCCAGAUGGGAUUAGCUUGUUGGUGAGGUAACGGCUCACCAAGGCGACGAUCCCUAGCUGGUCUGAGAGGAUGACCAGCCACACUGGAACUGAGACACGGUCCAGACUCCUACGGGAGGCAGCAGUGGGGAAUAUUGCACAAUGGGCGCAAGCCUGAUGCAGCCAUGCCGCGUGUAUGAAGAAGGCCUUCGGGUUGUAAAGUACUUUCAGCGGGGAGGAAGGUGUUGCGGUUAAUAACCGCAGCAAUUGACGUUACCCGCAGAAGAAGCACCGGCUAACUCCGUGCCAGCAGCCGCGGUAAUACGGAGGGUGCAAGCGUUAAUCGGAAUUACUGGGCGUAAAGCGCACGCAGGCGGUCUGUCAAGUCGGAUGUGAAAUCCCCGGGCUCAACCUGGGAACUGCAUUCGAAACUGGCAGGCUUGAGUCUUGUAGAGGGGGGUAGAAUUCCAGGUGUAGCGGUGAA